rnacentral:rRNA from 1 species
AACGAACGCUGGCGGCGUGCCUAACACAUGCAAGUCGUGCGAGAAAGUUCCUUCGGGGACGAGUAAAGCGGCGCACGGGUGAGUAACACGUAGGUAACCUGCCCCUUAGUCUGGAACAACUGGAGGAAACUCCAGCUAAUGCCGGAUGAGACCACGAUUUCCUCGGAGAUCGCGGCCAAAGAUGGCCUCUGCUUGCAAGCUAUCGCUGAGGGAUGGGCCUGCGGGUCAUUAGCUAGUUGGUGAGGUAACGGCUCACCAAGGCAGUGAUGACUAGCUGGUCUGAGAGGAUGACCAGCCACACUGGGACUGAGACACGGCCCAGACUCCUACGGGAGGCAGCAGUGGGGAAUAUUGCGCAAUGGGCGGAAGCCUGACGCAGCGACGCCGCGUGGGUGAUGAAGGCCUUCGGGUCGUAAAGCCCUGUCGCAGGGGAAGAACAAGUCACGGGAUAAUACCCCGUGGCCCUGACGGUACCCUGCAAGAAAGCACCGGCUAACUCCGUGCCAGCCGCCGCCGUAAAAC